rnacentral:lncRNA from 1 species
GCUUCCGGGUACCAUGUUGGUGGUUCAAUGCUGUAGCUGAGGAGGCUUGAGCGGUUUGUGUGUCCUGCUCUGUGUGCUACUGCUGGGUGCCGUGAGGGGAAUUCAGGCGAGCUCUGAACCCGUGACAUGGAUGCAUUGACCUUUGAUGAUGUGCAUGUACACUUCACUCAAGAGGAGUGGUCCUUGCUGGAUCCAUCUCAGAAGAGACUUUACAAAGAUGUAAUGCUGGAGACCUACAGGAACUUCAUUGCUAUAGGAUACAAUUGGGAAGACCAUAAUAUUGAAGAGCAUUGUCAAAGUGAUAAAAGAUAUAGAAGGCACGAAAGAAAUCCUGCUGGAGAGAACCAGUAUGAAUACAUACUGUGUGAUAAAGCCUUCACAUACCAUAGUCAUCUUCAAAAGCAUGAAGGAAUUCAAACUCAAGAGAAACCCUCUGAAGGCUUUCAACAUAGUGAAGUCCUUGCAUGUCAUAGUAGUCUCCAAAUACAUAAAAGAACAGAUACUGGAGAGAAACCCUACAAAUGUAAUCAAUGUGAUAAAUCCUUUUCACAGCUCAGGUAUCUUCGAGUUCAUGAAAGAACACAUACUGGAGAGAAACCCUAUGUAUGUAAUCAAUGUGGUAAAACUUUUGCACAUCACUGUACUUUACACUUGCAUAGAAGAACACAUACUGGAGAGAAACCUUAUGAAUGUAAUCAAUGUGGCAAAGCCUUUGCAAAAAACAGUUAUCUUCAAACACAUAAAGUAAUACAUACUGGAGAGAAACCCUUCAAAUGUAAUCAAUGUGAUAAAGCCUAUUCACAACAGAGUCAUCUCCUAAUACAUAAAAGAACACAUACUGGAGAGAAACCCUAUAAAUGUAGUCAGUGUGGUAAAUCAUUUGUAUCUCACAGUCAUCUUCAAGCUCAUGAAAGAAUUCAUACCGGAGAGAAACCUUACAAGUGUAAUCAAUGUGACAAAGCCUUUUCACAACACCCUAGUCUCCAAAUGCAUAAAAGAACACAUACUGGAGAGAAACCCUACAAAUGCAAUCAAUGUGAUAAGGCCUUUGCACAAAACAGUAGUCUCCAAAUGCAUACAAGAACACAUACUGGAGAGAAACCUUAUGAAUGUCAUCAAUGUGGUAAAGCCUUUUCACGUCACAGUAGUCUCCAAACCCAUAAAAGGCACCAUACAGGAGAGAAGCCCUAUGAAUGUAAUCACUGUGGUGAAGUCUUUGCAUAUCUCAGUAGUCUCCAGUACCACAAAAGGAAUCAUCUGGGAGAGGAACCCUAUCCAGUUCUUUAACAUGGUAAGGCCUUUGUGGAUUUCUGUAGCCUUCAUCAUGAAGUAUUCAUACUGCAGAGAAACCAUAUGAAUGGAAGAAAUGUGGUAAAGCUUUUGUACAUCACAGUUAUCUCUUAAUGUAGAAAAAACCAGAUAUUAGAAAUUGUUAUUUGAAGUGUUAUCAAAGUGGUUCCAUAGCAGGAUUUAAUCUGGCAGUUUGGGAGAGUAAGCUAAGUUUGUAUUUGCCAGAACUGGAAAAGUGCCAAACAAGUCAAUUCUACAAAAAAACCACCCCUCAUGGGCAGCCAAUCAGGAGCUUUAGAAGCCACCCACCUAGCUUGAACCAUAUAUAGUUAAUUAUCAAAAAUUCCCCAAACCCCCCAGAGCCUUAGCCAAUCACAGAGGCACCAUACCCCUCAAGAUAGAACCAACCAAUCAAGAGAAAGAAAGGUAAAAGCCACCCACUCCUAACCUAACAGUUUUUAAAUUGACCCUGAAAAGCCCACAUCUCUGUCUUCCAUCCUGGUAUAUGGAUAACAAUACAGUUAUGUCUGAAUGCAUAAAAGUAGAUAGACUGGAGAGAAACUCUAUGAAUGUAAUCAGUGUGGUAUAGCCUUUGCAUAACAUGAUCAUCUUUGAAUACAUAAAAAACAUACUGUCGUGAAAUUCUAUGAACGUAAUCAGUGUGAUAAAGCUUUUGCAUAUCACAUUCAUCUUCAAAGCCAUGAAAGGAUUUAUACUAAAAAGAAGCACUAUGAAGGUAUUAAAUAUUAUGAAGUCUUUGCACAUCCCAGUUAUGACUGAAUACAGAAAAGAACACAUGCUGGAGCGGAAAAUUAGGAAUGUAUUCAGUGUGGUAAAGACUUUGCAUAUCAUAGUCAUCUUUGGAUAUAUAAAAGAACACAUACUGGAGAGAAACCCUACAAAUAUAAUCAAUGAGAUAGAGCCUUUAAACAGCACAGUCAUCUUCAAAGGCAUGAAAGAAAGUCAUGCUGGAGAGAAACUCUAUGAAUGUCUCAAAUAUGUUGAAGCCUUUGCACAUUUUUGUAAUCAUCAUCGUGAUAGUAUUCAUACUGGAGAGAAAUCCUAUGAAUGCAAGAAAUGUGGUAAACCUUUUGUACAUAAUAGGAGUCAUUGAAUGCAAAACAUCAACUGUAGAGAAACCUUAUACAUGGACUCACUGUGGUAAAGACUGUGCACAUCAUAGUAGUCUCCUAAUACAUAAAAGAACACAUUCUGGAGAGAGACCCUAUGAAUGUAAUCAGUGUGGUAUAGCCUUUGCAUGUAGCAUCAGUUUUUCAUGAGAAAAAAAAAAUCAUACUGCAGAGAAGCCCUAUAAAUGUGUUAAAGUUUUACAUUUCAGUGUAGUCUUUUUUUUUAUUGAAGUAAUAAAAUUUAUUUUAAAAUAAACAA